AGUAAACUUAUAAUAAGCUGUUGAUUUGAUUAAACAAAAAAUUGUGAAAUUCUGGACAAUGUGGAGUUCAGGCCAAGAUGAUGAAGAACAGCAAGAUUACUUUGUUGAAGGGACUGAAGGUCUCUGCUCUCUAUCUCCUAUGCAGAGGAUGUAUGGGUUCGGUGCUUGUUUACUAGCUGGAGUUGUUUGUAUGUUCUUGUCGAUGAUUGUUUUUGCGAAACCCAUCAAAUUCGCGGUAUUAUUUACCUUUGGCAAUGUGCUGGCAGUUGGGAGCACAGCUUUCGUCAUUGGACCUAAGCAACAGCUCCGCAUGAUGCUUGAUGAUGCCCGCAUAUAUGCUACAGCAAUCUACGGCGGAUGUGUGAUAGUGGCUCUUGUUUGUGCUCUUUUGUCUGUUAGGUCGCUGAUAUCGGGAAGUGACUUCAUUGUGCUUGUUCCGGCAAACAGAAUGUAUCGAUGACUUUUGGCAUUUAUGAAAAGAAUUAAACUUAGUCUGUUGGAAAUUUUGAUAAUCUAGUAUGCAGAUGCAUAAAAAAGUAUUAUCUGGCUGUGUUCAGUGGAAGGAACAAGGGAAGGGGCUGUUUUAGCUGAACUUAACCAAACAUAACCUAAUGUUUUGGUAGCUGGGUAAGAAAUGUACUAACAAUUCAUUAGCCAGUGGUAACACACUUACACCCUCCUUUUUAUGCAUAUCAGCAUAGGCAAUUCUGCUGACCAGUGUAAGUUUGCUAUCUGAAAUUUAGUUAACUUAUUCAGUUAUUCCCAGUCAUACUAGCUAAACUCGAUAUUGAAUAUAACGUCAUAUCUUUCCUAUCCCAUAUGAAUGCACCUCAUAAUUUCUUGUCAACUUGUUGAUUGGUACAUUCAUGUACAAGUUAUAUCUUUAUCUAGUGCUUCUUUUUCUGUAUUGCAGAUCCACAGUAAGAUUCUUACCUUAAUUGCCGUGAUAUGUGAAAUUUGUUCUCUAUUUUGGUACAGCUUGAGUUAUAUUCCAUUUGCCCGUAGAAUGGUCUCUGAUCUGACAAUCCGUCUUUGUG